ensembl:lncRNA
CUGCCUGCCUGCCUGCCUGCCUGCCUGCCUGCCUGCCUGCCUGUCUAUAAAUGGGCACAAAGAUUUUAUAAGUCAAUAUUUCUUUUACGGAGAAGCGAUUAAUACAGAGGACGCUCAGUCCAGCAAUACAGUUGUCAUGGCUUAGCAUCUUCCUAUAGCAGUCUCUGAAGGUGACUUUAUGUAGAAUGUGACCAAGCACAAAUUUUUCCCAAUGGAGCCAUCUUCUCAGGCUCUAAAGCCUGCAUGUAGAAGCACAGAUGCUCUCGUGCUCUGAAUAUGAACAGGUUCAACUUUUCUCUGGAGUGAUUUAGCAAAUAUUCAGAAGUCUUAGAAUUUUGCAUUAUUUUGGUUCUGAUUCUUUUCCUUUUCCCUAAGGGGUUGGUGAAUAGUUUUUCACAAAGAUAAUUAAUAUUGUUAUACUCAUAGCACUGAUCUUUUUUUAAGUGAGACCAAAACUGAGGGAAUAUUAAUGUGGACUUAGAUAUGUAAAUUAUGUUUUUCUAUACAUUAUAGAAUACAGUUGGCGGCAGAUGAAUACUUGGGUUCUUCGUUAAUGUGUUUGAAACAGGGUUUCUCUGGGUGGCCCUGGCCAUCCUGGAACUCACUUUGUAGACCAGGCUGGCCUGGGCAAUUCUGCCUGCCUCUGCCUCCCAAUGCCUGGAUUAAAGAUGUGCACCACCACCUGGCUGGUGGAAGAAUAUUUGUUAAUCAAAGGAGAAUGAUGAGAACACUCACGACAGUGCACUAGCUGGAGAGAUGGCGCAGGGCGUACAAGCAAUCGCUACUUCUGGCAAGAACCUGAGUUUGGUUCUGAGCAGCCAUGUUAACUGCCACAACUCCAGCUCCAGUUGAGUCUGAUGUCCCUUCUGGCAUCUGAAAGUAACCAUAUAUAUAGCCCCCUUCCACAAACAUGCACAAAUAAAAAUAAAUAUUUUUUUAAAAAAAGGAUUACAAUUGAAAUUUAAAAAUAAACUUAACAUUUAAUCUUUUAAAAGAUUAGAAACAAAAUAGCCAACAUAGCACUGUCCCAAUUUCAGUGGAAAGUAGGCAGACCCAGGGGAAGAUGUCUGGAAGGACAGAGACAUACAUGUUUUAUUAAUUAAUUAAUUAAUUAAUUUGUUGUUUUUAAUUAUUUACUUUAUGUAUAUAAGUACACUGUCGCUGUCCUCAGACACACCAGAAGAGGGCAUCGGAUCCCAUUACAGAUGGUUGUGAGCCACCAUGUGGUUGCUGGGAUUUGAACUCAGGACCUCUAGAAGAGCAGUCGGUGCUCUUAACCACUGAACCAUCUCACCAACCCGUCAAGCCAAACUUCUACAGUGAUUUCAAAGCCUGCCAACCACUGACAGUAUUGACCCAGGCAUGAGAGACCCUUCAGUGCCUCCAGCACAAAUUUGCAUUGUUCAGCUGGAAGAUUACUGUGAAUUUGAGGCAAGCUUUGGAGACAAGGUGGGUCCCAAACUAGCCUGUGCCACAAUGUAUAGACUCCGCAGCUUUUGAGCUACCUUAACACAUCUACUACUUGUGCUUAUGUAAAUUUCACUAAAAUGAAGUAAAUUUUCAUCAAAAUUUAGCUCUGUAGUCACAUUAGCUUCUUUGAGACCAAUCAGUAGUCGUAUGCGGUCGGUGGCUACCAUAUUGGAUGAAGCAAUUAGAGAUCAACGCUUCGAUUUUCAGGAAGGAAGAGAGACCAGAAAGGCGCCUUGUUGGUGGAUCUCCUCCUCCUCACCCCAAGGCUCCUUCAUGCCUAGUCUCGCCUGCAGAACAGAACCUGCACUGACUGAUCAUAGAGUGUGAAGAUGGCUGUGUGCCUAGAGAGUCCUUUCUGCUUUCUUGUGUCUGUUCCUAUCACCUGCCUUGAACACAAGAAUGUUUAUAUCGAAUGUUUAAUUUCAAGGAUGCAACAGGUCCCAGCCCUCUCUAUCUGUUCAGCCCCGUCUAGCCACUGGGCGAGCUGUUUACUUGGAAUCCAAGUGCCCUGGCCAGGGGCAGAGCAAGUUUUCCACAGCUGCUGAGAAAGAUGACUGAGUUGAGGCAGAAUAACAAAAAGCCACUUCAAAAACACACCAGAAGAAGUAUGAAGCUGAGACAAUCACAGGAGCUGGGGACCGAACCCAGGGCUUUGCGCUUGCUAGAUGCAAAUCUGACCAACCAAGCUGCCCUGCUUUCCUUGCCUGGUAGACAACGGAUGGAUGCUACGACCCCCUUGACCACACGGUGAAAUGAAUCCUUGCUUCCUUGCUUCCCUUAGGGGACAUUUGUCCGGUCUUUUAUUAUAGCAACCAGAAAGUAAUGGGAACUUUAUUAGUGAUGAUUUUUCUCGUGAAACCCUUGGAAGGA